AUUCGUAGAGAUCGGGAGGAAUACCAGUGGCGUAGGCGCCCUUCUGGACGGUAACUGACGCUGAGACGCGAAAGCGUGGGGAGCAAACAGGAUUAGAUACCCUGGUAGUCCACGCUGUAAACGAUGAGCACUAGGUGUAGCGGGUAACCA
rnacentral:rRNA from 1 species